rnacentral:tRNA from 1 species
GCAGAAGUGGCGGAACUGGCAGACGUGCAAGACUAAGGAUCUUGUGCCCGUAUAGGGUGUAGGGGUUCGAGUCCCCUCUUCUGCACCA